UUUUUUAAUUUUAGUUUGGUUAAGUUAGAAAGGGCGCACGGUGGAUGCCUUGACACUAGGAGUCGAUGAAGGACGGGACUAACGCCGAUAUGCUUCGGGGAGCUGUAAGUAAGCUUUGAUCCGAAGAUUUCCGAAUGGGGAAACCCACCAUACGUAAUGGUAUGGUAUCCUUACCUGAAUACAUAGGGUAUGGAAGACAGACCCAGGGAACUGAAACAUCUAAGUACCUGGAGGAAGAGAAAGCAAAUGCGAUUUCCUGAGUAGCGGCGAGCGAAACGGAAUCUAGCCCAAACCAAGAGGCUUGCCUCUUGGGGUUGUAGGACAUUCUAUACGGAGUUACAAAGGAACGAGGUAGACGAAGCAGCCUGGAAAGGCUCGUCACAGAGGGUAACAACCCCGUAGUCGAAACUUCGUUCUCUCUUGAAUGUAUCCUGAGUACGGCGGAACACGUGAAAUUCCGUCGGAAUCUGGGAGGACCAUCUCCCAAGGCUAAAUACUACCUAGUGAUCGAUAGUGAACCAGUACCGUGAGGGAAAGGUGAAAAGCACCCCGGAAGGGGAGUGAAAGAGAUCCUGAAACCGUGUGCCUACAAAUAGUCAGAGCCCGUUAAUGGGUGAUGGCGUGCCUUUUGUAGAAUGAACCGGCGAGUUACGAUCCCGUGCGAGGUUAAGCUGAAGAGGCGGAGCCGUAGCGAAAGCGAGUCUGAAUAGGGCGUUUAGUACGUGGUCGUAGACCCGAAACCAGGUGAUCUACCCAUGUCCAGGGUGAAGUUCAGGUAACACUGAAUGGAGGCCCGAACCCACGCACGUUGAAAAGUGCGGGGAUGAGGUGUGGGUAGCGGAGAAAUUCCAAUCGAACCUGGAGAUAGCUGGUUCUCCCCGAAAUAGCUUUAGGGCUAGCCUUAAGUGUAAGAGUCUUGGAGGUAGAGCACUGAUUGAACUAGGGGUCCUCAUCGGAUUACCGAAUUCAGUCAAACUCCGAAUGCCAAUGACUUAUCCUUAGGAGUCAGACUGCGAGUGAUAAGAUCCGUAGUCAAGAGGGAAACAGCCCAGAUCGCCAGCUAAGGUCCCAAAGUGUGUAUUAAGUGGAAAAGGAUGUGGAGUUGCUUAGACAACUAGGAUGUUGGCUUAGAAGCAGCCACCAUUUAAAGAGUGCGUAAUAGCUCACUAGUCGAGUGACUCUGCGCCGAAAAUGUACCGGGGCUAAAUACACCACCGAAGCUGCGAAUUGAUACCUAUGGUAUCAGUGGUAGGGGAGCGUUCUAAGGGCAGUGAAGUCAGACCGUAAGGACUGGUGGAGCGCUUAGAAGUGAGAAUGCCGGUAUGAGUAGCGAAAGACGGGUGAGAAUCCCGUCCACCGAAUGCCUAAGGUUUCCUGAGGAAGGCUCGUCCGCUCAGGGUUAGUCAGGACCUAAGCCGAGGCCGACAGGCGUAGGCGAUGGACAACAGGUUGAUAUUCCUGUACCACCUCUUUAUCGUUUGAGCAAUGGAGGGACGCAGAAGGAUAGAAGAAGCGUGCGAUUGGUUGUGCACGUCCAAGCAGUUAGGCUGAUAAGUAGGCAAAUCCGCUUAUCGUGAAGGCUGAGCUGUGAUGGGGAAGCUCCUUAUGGAGCGAAGUCUUUGAUUCCCCGCUGCCAAGAAAAGCUUCUAGCGAGAUAAAAGGUGCCUGUACCGCAAACCGACACAGGUAGGCGAGGAGAGAAUCCUAAGGUGUGCGAGAGAACUCUGGUUAAGGAACUCGGCAAAAUGACCCCGUAACUUCGGGAGAAGGGGUGCUUUCUUAACGGAAAGCCGCAGUGAAUAGGCCCAAGCGACUGUUUAGCAAAAACACAGGUCUCUGCGAAGCCGUAAGGCGAAGUAUAGGGGCUGACACCUGCCCGGUGCUGGAAGGUUAAGGAGAGGGGUUAGCGUAAGCGAAGCUCUGAACUGAAGCCCCAGUAAACGGCGGCCGUAACUAUAACGGUCCUAAGGUAGCGAAAUUCCUUGUCGGGUAAGUUCCGACCCGCACGAAAGGUGUAACGAUUUGGGCACUGUCUCAACCAGAGACUCGGUGAAAUUAUAGUACCUGUGAAGAUGCAGGUUACCCGCGACAGGACGGAAAGACCCCGUGGAGCUUUACUGUAGCCUGAUAUUGAAUUUUGGUACAGUUUGUACAGGAUAGGCGGGAGCCUUUGAAGCCGGAGCGCUAGCUUCGGUGGAGGCGCUGGUGGGAUACCGCCCUGACUGUAUUGAAAUUCUAACCUACGGGUCUUAUCGACCCGGGAGACAGUGUCAGGUGGGCAGUUUGACUGGGGCGGUCGCCUCCUAAAGUGUAACGGAGGCGCCCAAAGGUUCCCUCAGAAUGGUUGGAAAUCAUUCGUAGAGUGCAAAGGCAUAAGGGAGCUUGACUGCGAGACCUACAAGUCGAGCAGGGACGAAAGUCGGGCUUAGUGAUCCGGUGGUUCCGCAUGGAAGGGCCAUCGCUCAACGGAUAAAAGCUACCCCGGGGAUAACAGGCUUAUCUCCCCCAAGAGUCCACAUCGACGGGGAGGUUUGGCACCUCGAUGUCGGCUCAUCGCAUCCUGGGGCUGUAGUCGGUCCCAAGGGUUGGGCUGUUCGCCCAUUAAAGCGGUACGCGAGCUGGGUUCAGAACGUCGUGAGACAGUUCGGUCCCUAUCCGUCGUGGGCGUAGGAAAUUUGAGAGGAGCUGUCCUUAGUACGAGAGGACCGGGAUGGACGCACCGCUGGUGUACCAGUUGUUCUGCCAAGGGCAUAGCUGGGUAGCUAUGUGCGGAAGGGAUAAGUGCUGAAAGCAUCUAAGCAUGAAGCCCCCCUCAAGAUGAGAUUUCCCAUAGCGUAAGCUAGUAAGAUCCCUGAAAGAUGAUCAGGUUGAUAGGUUCGAGGUGGAAGCAUGGUGACAUGUGGAGCUGACGAAUACUAAUAGAUCGAGGACUUAACCAU
rnacentral:rRNA from 1 species